rnacentral:rRNA from 1 species
AGCAGCCGCGGUAAUUCCAGCUCCAAUAGCGUAUAUUAAAGUUGUUGCAGUUAAAAAGCUCGUAGUUGAAUUUCGGGGUUAGUAGAUUGGUCAUGCCUCUGGUAUGCACUGGUCUCACUGAUUCCUCCUUCCUGAUGAGCCGUAAUGCCAUUAAUUUGGUGUUGCGGGGAAUUUGGACUGUUACUUUGAAAAAAUUAGAGUGUUUAAAGCAAGCUAACGCUUGAAUACAUUAGCAUGGAAUAAUGAAAUAGGACGUUCGAUCCUAUUUUGUUGGUUUCUAGGAUUGACGUAAUGAUUAAUAGGGAUAGUUGGGGGCAUUAGUAUUCAAUUGUCAGAGGUGAAAUUCUUGGAUUUAUUGAAGACUAACUACUGCGAAAGCAUUUGCCAAGGAUGUUUUCAUUAAUCAAGAACGAAAGUUAGGGGAUCGAAGACGAUCAGAUACCGUCGUAGUCUUAACCAUAAACUAUGCCGACUAGGGAUCGGAUGAUGUUAAUUUUUUAAUGACUCA